ensembl:lncRNA
CCUUUGUCAACACCACACACACACACACACGCACAACGAGAUAUGGAUUUAGAGUCGUUCUCCUUGAGGAGGCGAAUCCAGCCGUGCAUCUGCUUGGCCGCUCGCCAGAAGCUUGCGACACCAAAACGGGGCCCAAAUUCCUCCUUGGCUGUUGCCGAGGAUCCCAGCCGCACGCUAACGGGAUUAUUGGUUAGCCGCUGCAUGUCGCGGCGACACAGCUUGCCUUUGCCACUGCUUUGACCUAAUGGGCUCACACGGGGAGAGGCAGCGCAGCUCCGACUGGGCCUUCCGUCGGCAACCGUGACAUUGACUGCAGCGGUGAGGGGCGGGUGGGAGGGGGGCCGUCACCGUGGGUGGUACUGUAGGGAGCACGGGCAGGCGGAGGCCACACACACACACACACACACACACACACAGAAGUAUAAGUACAGACACAAACUGUCUUUGUCCUUAGCGGAGAGUGGGGAUUGCCCCUCCUCUCCGGGCCCAUGUGCUCCCCUGGGGAGGCCAAACCUGCUGUGCCAUCAGAAGCCUUUUUUUCCUCCCCCUCCCUCUCUCCCUCGGCCAUAAUCUCAUCACAUCUCACGCACUUGCCUCCCCUCCCCUCCCCUCCCCUCGCCUCGCCUCCCGUCCUGGUAGCAUUACCACACCACCAGGAUAAGGAAUAUUAAAAGUACUCCGUGGGUUUCCGGCCUGUGACCUCCUUCGAAAAAAUCCCACUUUCCUUUUUGCCCCCCCCCUCCCGCCCCCCCGGUCCUGUCCUGUCGAUAUCCUGCGGCGGUAUGAAGCAGGGGGCCGAAGUGAGGUCAUUUCAAUGGCAACAUUGCUGCCUGUGUUCUUUAUCUGGCGGAGAAUUUUCUGCGAGAUGGCAUCUUGUAAUUUGCUUUUCUCCCCGUGCAUCUGUAGAGAAUUAAACCCCCCCCCCCCACAAAGAAACACCAGUUUCAGAUCAAACAAAGACGUUUCAUUUCCAGUUUACUGUCUAUGAAAUUCAAAUGGCAUCCCUGAGUUGUUGUUUUUUAAUCCCAGCUCUGAAUCAAAUGGGAAACGGAAAUAAAAAUGCAAAUUAGUUUGUUCUUUAUUAGGAUUUCUCAGCAAGUGUGCACCGUCUGACUGUAUCUCAAUAUGAAAUCCAUGAAGAUGGCUACUGCCUCCACCAAACCUGAGGGGAUUUCAGCAUCACAUUUUGACAGCAAUUAGUGGCACAAUCUGUUUCAUGCUUGCUCAUAUAACUAGGCUCUGGACAGAUCUCACGCUGAAGUGUUACAAUGUUCUUUACAUCUUAAUAUUAUUCAACUGUGGAAGAGGAGACAUACACAGGACUCUGCCUACAAAAAUCAACUGUGCUGUUUAAGCCGACGUUUCAAUCAAAGUGAAGAUAAAGAAAAAGAAAAAUAGGUAACGAUGAAUUAGGUUUCAAACGCGACAAAAAGAAAACAUAUCUGUAACAUUCACUAAAGCCUGUGAUGCCUGUUUUAAAUAAUAGACUCUUGUACAAAAGAACCCACAUAUAAAAUAGCAGAAAAAUACUUACAGAUACAAACACAAAAAUGAAGAUAAAGAAAUGCCUUCAAAUAUUCUGGACAGGAGGAGUUAAAAAAAAAAAAGUUAAAAGAAAUGCUUCUUUAAGAAAAUGUGUAUGUUUUUUAUUCGAUUUUCUAGUAGUUGCAAACAAAACUUGGUGUUUUUUCUCUUUGUGUGUUGCGUGUUGUCUUAAUAUUUGAAUGUAUUUUACUGCAGUGCGAAUUUGCCAAAGAUAUCAUAUCAAUUGAUUUCUCUACUUUUAUUUUUAUUUUUUUAUUUUCUUUGGUGGGGGGAUUUUUGUUUCCUGAAUUGUGAUCAAUUUUCUUCAGAAAACUGGAAAUAAAUGUUAAAUUAGAUAUUAUGCUUAUUUUUCAUAUUCCUAACGUGGAUAUUAUCGUUAUUUCAUUCCCUGGGUUUGAGUUUACUGUGAAAUGUUAAAUUGCAGUUUGCUUGAUGCAUUACUUCAUAACGUGUACAUGUUCAUCCGUCCACCUGAGUGACUGUUGUAGGUGAAUUAUUACAUUUACGUACCUGUAAUGUGAAGCUAAGAAGUAAUUAUUUGUAAAUAUUUGCCAUAAUUUUAUUGGUCCUUCAGAAUAAAAAAUAAUUUUUUGGAAGUGACAGCUCCCGCGUCAGUGCUUGGCUACGAAUGUGCACGUGUUUUCUGUGCAUGCAGACGGAACGCGCACAUUCCUCAACGCGGCGGCAGCUAAAACCCCUCCUUCCCCUCAGCACCGUCCCACUGCUGCAGUCUUGGCUGCUGGCCGAGUCCAGGAGGGGGCAGAGGUGUGUGUGUGUGUGUGUGUGUGUGUAGGGGAGACGAGGAGGGGGAGGUGGGUGAUAAUAGGACACAAGCCGCGACAUGGCGACAACACGCCACACACACAGAAAACAGCACAAACCCAGCUUGAGACACCGGCCGGGCUGUCUGCAGUUUGGGUUCCUGCCCAGGACUGAAAAGCAGCAUGGUGAG